GCCGCUGGAGACAGGAGCAGAAAAGGGAAGGCCUCUAUAGGGAAGGCUGUACUCCUUGGCCCAGAUAGCUCGGAGGGCUGGAGGAGGAAUAAUAGGAUUGGCUAUUUGGCCCAAGAUGCCAACCGCUUUCCUCUGCUUCAAGAGCUACCCCUGAUGGGUCUGGUCAGAAGUACUGAUGGUCUAGUCCUCAGAGUUCCCUUCAGUUAUGGCCUGUGUGUCAUCUUCCCUUCCUUGGGGAUCUCGGUCCUGUACCCUGACCCACCACAUCGCUAGAGUGAUUGGUUACUCUCUACCCGCCCCCCCCUCAAGUUUCCCUAUCAAGUAACCACCUGUCUACUUGGCCUCCUGCAUGCAUUUUGGAGGUGCAGUCCUACCUUGGCCCAAAUUUUCUUUUUUCUUUUUUUCUUUUUUUUUUUGGUUUUGUUUUGCUUUGAGUUCAGCUUGGAAAUACUAACUAUCAAAAUAGUAAUAAUUUACAUUUAGUGAGCAUGUACUGUGUAUCAGGCCUUGUGCCAAAAGCUCUAUGCAUGACUUCAUUUCAUUAUUCUGAGUUGACCCUGUGAUGGGAGGUCGGGCCUACGGUUAGAGGAGAGCCCGAGAUAGGGGUGCAGGAGGACUCUGCUGGUGAGACUCGCUGCUGCUCCUGUGCUUGUCCUGCAGGUUCAGCCCACUACAGAGCGCCACCGGCCUCAGGCGACACCCAGUGUCCCCAGCACUUAUCACCGCGAACUGUAGUUACUUGUUUCGCCACUCAGCCUGGGGGAAAGGGAGGCAGAGGCCCCUUUCGAUUCACCUUCUGGUCUCCAGGGCUCAGGGGCCGCCCAAUCAGCUCUGAAGAUGAUAAAUCAGGCCCGGGGCUCAUCCGUGCAGCGGCCAGCCUCUCCACACCCCUCCUCUAAAGAGGCUCUGGCUGCCUCUAUUCAUCACCGGCUGCCCUCCCUUCCUCCUGCCGGCCUCCUUGCUUCGUACCCCCCACACCCCCAAGCAGACGGUGUCAGUGUUGCUACGGCCCAGCCACUUGGGGUUGAAUUCUGGACGGAGAUUCAGGACAUACCCUGGAGCUGGGUUGUGAGUUCAAGCCCCACAGUGGAUGUGAAAUCAACUUAAAAAGAAGAAGAAGGAGGAGGAGGAAGAGGAGGAGGAAAGGGAGAAAAAGAAGAAGAAUGCUGAGCAAGCCCCUCUCCUGUGGAUUAAGACACACACAGAGAGAGGCAGAGACACAGGCAGAGACACAGGCAGAGGGAGAAGCAGGCCCCCUACAGGAAGCCUGACGUGGGACUUGAUCCCGAAUCUCCAGGAUCACACCCCAGGCUGCAGGCGGCACUAAACCGCAAGGAAUUUGUAAGAGCAAGAAGAGGACAUUGGGAAUUGGGAUGGGACAUGUACAGGUGACCCAGCAGCAGCCCAGGUCCAGAAGAGAUAGAUGAUGGUGGCCUCAGGGUUAUCAGGUCAUGGAGGCCUUCCCCUAGGACAAGACUGAUUCCAGUGCCUAGAGGUGGCAGUGUGUGGUUCUAGUUCUGUCAGCCACUGGAGGCAAGAAACCAGGCUGCUUCUUAGAGAGGCAGAUUGGGACCAGAAAAUUGGAGGGGAGGGGGUGUCUCAAAAAUCAAGUUGGGAGUGAGAGGAGAGCCCAUAUUGGGAAUGGGAGUAGGGAAAUGGGAAUGAAAUCAGACAGUUUAGGGGCUGGAAGGAAAACCUGUCCAGUCUCCUUUUUGCUUCUAUUGAGUUCAAUACACCCUGACAGGAUUGUCUGCCUUUUUGAAACACCUCUUUUGCUUUAAAAACUUGUCUUUUCCCUCCCCUCUGAGCAUCAGAUCUAGAAGAGGCCUGGGGCCCCCAAUCUUUUCUAGGGAUGCUUUGCCUCUGACUAGAGUGGACUGGACAACCCAAGCCAAGCUUCCAUACUUAGGGUAGGGCUGUGAGCCAUACCCCUGGGCCAUGUGAAUCACCACGCCCUCUGGAACAGUGGGCAAGGCAGGGAGAAGUCUGAGGAUGAGAGGCAGGGAGGCUAGGACAGAGAAGGCAGGGUGGAAUAGCUUGGGGGAAGAGAGCCUCCCUGGGCAGGUGGCUCCAUUUGAUUUCCGAUUUAAAGGGGAGGCUUAGAUGGCCAAGAAGAAAAAGGCUAAUAAGAAAAAUAUUAAA